GCUGGUCUCCUUCCCCGGUUUGCUCUCGCGUUCCUCGAACCCCCGAGCAAGCAGGUCUCCUUCCCUGCGGUUUGCAGGGGGGUUCGGGGAACGCAAGAGCAAACCGCGGGGAAGCUGGUCUCCUUCCCCGGUUUGCUCUCGCGUUCCCCGAACCCCCGUGCAAGCAGGUCUCCUUCCCUGCGGUUUGCUCUCGCGUUCCCCGAACCCCCGUGCAAGCAGGUCUCCUUCCCUGCGGUUUGCUCUCGCGUUCCCCGAACCCCCGUGCAAGCAGGUCUCCUUCCCUGCGGUUUGCUCUCGCGUUCCCCGAACCCCCGUGCAAGCAGGUCUCCUUCCCUGCGGUUUGCUCUCGCGUUCCCCGAACCCCCGUGCAAGCAGGUCUCCUUCCCUGCGGUUUGCAGGGGGGUUCGGGGAACGCGAGAGCAAACCGCGGGGAAGCUGGUCUCCUUCCCCGGUUUGCUCUCGCGUUCCCCGAACCCCCCUUGAAGCCGCCCAACAGCGCUGCAGUGUGGCCACAUCUAACACCACU